rnacentral:rRNA from 1 species
AAGUCAGCUUGCUGACUUUGAUGGCGACCGGCGCACGGGUGAGUAACGCGUAUCCAACCUGCCUUACACUCUUGGACAGCCUUCUGAAAGGAAGAUUAAUACAAGAUGGCAUCAUGAGUCCGCAUGUUCACAUGAUUAAAGGUAUUCCGGUAGACGAUGGGGAUGCGUUCCAUUAGAUAGUAGGCGGGGUAACGGCCCACCUAGUCAACGAUGGAUAGGGGUUCUGAGAGGAAGGUCCCCACAUUGGAACUGAGACACGGUCCAAACUCC